rnacentral:lncRNA from 1 species
GCCCGCAGGGACGUGCCCGGACCGUGCCGCUGCCCACGGCCCCCGCAGCUCGCCGUUCUCCUCCCGGCACGUUCCCGGUGAUUAUCCGUGACUCAGCUGCGCGUCUGGACUGGGAAAACAUCCCCGCGCACCGCGCUGCGGCACACGGCGCUGUGAUGCUCGCCUGAAAUCCCGAUCCCCCAGGAAUCCCCGGGACCGGAGUGGGACUGGGAGGGACGGGACAAUCCUCUGGGAGUCUCUCUGUGGGGUCCCGCAGUGAGGCUGCGAACCCGGCAUGGGGGGUCCUGGUGAAGGUGCUGUGAGCAGGGACCCCAGGCUGGGCACAGCUGGGAUAUUCCUGCGAUAUCCUGACUCUGAGACCACCCAUGGGGAGCAGAGUGAGGGAGAGGGGCCACCAAAGCCACCGGGACAGGGGGGUACUGCAGCUGACGUGAGCUGGGAACGCCCCCAGAGGCUGGGUCUGUGCCUCGGGGGGCUUCCCGCGGCUCUCUGUGCACCCCGUCAUGGCAGUGCCCGUGCCAGCCAGUCCAUGGCGCGGAGGGGGCACCCGAACGCCCCUCAAGGUCAUCACAUGCCACUAGAUUCGCCCCUAAAUCCUUCAUCUGCACGGAUCUCUGCACCCCUGCACCCCCAAACCCUGCACCCCCUGUAUCCUGCACCUCCCGGGGUCUCUACCAUCCAGAUCUGCCCCAUCCCAUCGUGCCAGGACCCCGUGGGGUACCCCCACCGGCCGUGGGGUGCCCGUGGAGUGUCGGGGGGACACACUCAUCACCCCAUCCGUGCCAUCGGCUGUGCCCCUGCCCUUCCCAUGCCGUAUCCCCCCAGAUGCACCCCCUGUCCCCCCCCUACUUCAUCAGCCCCCCGGGGGAUGCAGUCUGCAUCUCCCUCCCCUGCCACUGCUCCCGGGGGCAGGAGGCAGCGGAGGGGCGGUGGGGCCGGUGCCCGGUGCCGGUGCCCGGUGUCGGUGCCCGGUGCCGGUGCCGUGGCCGUGCCGCGUGACGCUGUCCCCGCUUCCCGCCCGGCGCCUGCGUGCCGAAGGUUUAUUUUUACUCGGGGCUGGAGCCUUGUUUACCUUG